UACGUAGGGUGCAAGCGUUAAUCGGAAUUACUGGGCGUAAAGCGUGCGCAGGCGGCUUUGCAAGACAGAUGUGAAAUCCCCCGGGCUCAACCUGGGAACUGCAUUUGUGACUGCAUGGCUUGAGUGUGGCAGAGGGGGGUGGAAUUCCACGUGUAGCGUGAAAUGCGUAGAGAUGUGGAGGAACACCGAUGCGAAGGCAGGUCUCUGGGCAUUAACUGACGCUGAGGAGCGAAAGCAUGGGGAGCGAACAGG
rnacentral:rRNA from 1 species